UACGGGGGGAGCAAGCGUUGUUCGGAUUUACUGGGCGUAAAGGGCGCGUAGGCGGUCAGCACAAGUCAGUUGUGAAAUCUCCGGGCUUAACUCGGAAAGGUCAACUGAUACUGUGCGACUAGAGUGCGGAAGGGGCAACUGGAAUUCUCGGUGUAGCGGUGAAAUGCGUAGAUAUCAGGAGGAACACCGAUGGCGAAGGCAGGUCUCUGGGCAUUAACUGACGCUGAGGAGCGAAAGCAUGGGGAGCGAACAGG
rnacentral:rRNA from 1 species